UCAUCGUGUUUUGUGUAGCAAGGGAUGAGGUCUGUGUGCGCAACUCUACACUUUUACCGAUCCUGAAAUGGGGGUGGGGGUCCUGGUGCACAUGGCUGUCCCUGAUAUGGUCCAGCUGGCAUGGGUUGCCCUCCACAUGUUGGCUGAGCUCCAUACCCAGGCUGAGUUGGCACAGGCUGGUACGGUAUGUACUGAACAGGUGGAGCCGGCAUAUAUGAUCAGCGUUUUCAUGGGAAUGCUAAUCGCUGAUCAGCGCAAUGAUUUAUUCACUCUUUCCACCUGCUUCACUCGGAUUGCACUCCCUAAUUAUUCCUUGUGUUUCCCCUCUUUCUUUGCCAGUUAUUGUUUGCUGUCAUGUUUAACUGUUCUCUCUUGUGUAGUUGGAGCAUGCUCGUGUGUCUGUUGGUUGCUGUAGAGGUGUGGUUACCUGCCUGUUUGCUGUCGCUCACCAGUUCGGUGCCCAGUUCAUGUGGAGGAG